rnacentral:lncRNA from 1 species
GCCACAUUGGGAGUAGAGAGUGGUGGAGAGAAAGAGAGAAGGUCAGAGAGGUCAGUAAAGUCCAGACCAUGCACAGCUUCAGGUCAGGUGAAGAAUGGGAAGCUAUUGGCAGAUUUUAAGCAGGGGAAUGUCAUGAUCUAAUGUUUUCAAAAGACCACUCUAGCAGGAGUGUGGUGGAGUGAGAGUGGGUGUGGGAAGAGCAGUUAUAUGACCAUUUAAGCGAUCUUAGCAGACAUGAUGGCAGCUCUGCAAUGAAGACCAGGAGAUGAACACGGGAUACAUUUUGGAGUUGUAGCUGAUCGGGCAUACUGAUGGAUUAGAGGGGGGUAGCAGUAAGCAAGGGGUCUUUGAAGAGUUCACCCAGGAGCUUCAAAAUGAGGAACAGUGCUUGCAAUUUCCUUGAAUACUAAGAACAUCCAGCUAUUUGUAGACAGAUAAAAGAGAGCAGCCCCCAGAGGUGCUGAUCCAGCCAAGAUAGCUCAUCCAGAGAUGCCUUUAUCAGGAAACACAAAGGAGGGAGACCUACUACUAUGUAAAUGGAGGCUACUUGGAGAAUGACUAUGUCUGAGGCUGACCAGUGUCUGCAGGGUUCAGUCACUUUGGAGUAAAAACUGAGAUUAGAGAAAUAAAGC